rnacentral:lncRNA from 1 species
UGCUUUUAAUAUCCCUUAAAGAAAUCUUUGUUGAAUCCUAUGUAUUGAUCCCCUUUCAUAAUGCUGUAAAGAACUGCCCAAGACUGGGUAAUUUAUAAAAGAGGUUUAAUUGACUCACAGUUCUGCAUGGCUGUGGAAGCCUCAGGAAACUUACAGUCAUGGCAAAAGGGGAAGCAAACACCUUCUUCACAAGGUGGCAGGAAGGAGAAGUACUGAGCAAAGGUGGAAGAGCCCCUUAU